UGGCUUGAAUUGUGACCUAUUCUGUCUUACCAUUGAAGAAAUAAAGCUCAAAUGAAGGUCUGUUCAUUUUCUUUUUCCAUUAAUAUUCUUCCUUUUUAUUGUUCUGUUUCUUUUCAAUAAUGAUAUGAUCUUUGGUAUCUUAAUUAGUUGUUAGUGUCUGAUUUCUUUAAAAUCCUUCUGUUGACACCCAAUUUUGGCCAACAUUUUCAAAAUUCGUAACUUUUAAGUUUUAUUUAUUUAAUAGUUCAAAAUAAUUUUUUUAAUAAGUUUAUCGAUAACUAUCCUUAUUUAUCAAAAUUUAGGAUUUUUUAUCAGUUAAUUUUAAAAUUGCAUUUUUACAAGUCAUUAGUUACGUUCAUUAUUUUUUUUUAUAUUCAUUUUAUUCGUUAUAUUUAUUAAUACUCAUUCUGAUAGUUUGCACAAUCUAGAAAUUCAUUCAAAUACAGAUAUUUUAUUUGAUCGAUAAUUUUGGGCCACAAUCCCAAGCCCACAAAUUGAGCCCAAUUAACAAUUAUUUCCUAUAUAAGUUUUGGUUAGGUUAAAAAAUAGGGGUGGUGAAAUAAAAAUUAGGGUGGGUGUAUAAUUUUCAGAAUGAGUAUGGAUGUAUUUUUUCCUUUUUUGAGCCGCCAAGGUCUCACCACAGCCAUCCAAAAACCCACUUCGUCCUCUUUUCCGGCGAGACUCCAUCAGAACCAACCCACAACAACUCCAAACAAAUCCAAAACCACCAAAAGACCAUUGUCCUCCCUUACUACAUGCUACGGUUCACUGACUAGGGAAGCCAUUGACACCGCUCCGAAGAAACAACCAUUUUCCCUCUUCUGUUUAUUUCUCUUGCGGCUAGCUCUGGUGAGGAGCUUCAAGCUCCGAUUAACCGGAGCAAAUCCAGUCGCGACUCAGUCCCCUUCCCCUUCCCCUUGACGAGUUUGGUUUGUUUUGCAGGUGUAAGAUCUCCAUCUCCGACGUGACUCCAACACCGGUGAGCGACAAUCAGAUCUGGCUUGAAUUGUGACCUAUUCUGUCUUACCAUUGAAGAAAUAAAGCUCAAAUGAAGGUCUGUUCAUUUUCUUUUUCCAUUAAUAUUCUUCCUUUUUAUUGUUCUGUUUCUUUUCAAUAAUGAUAUGAUCUUUGGUAUCUUAAUUAGUUGUUAGUGUCUGAUUUCUUUAAAAUCCUUCAUGUUGUGGUUAAUUGCUAAUUAUGUAUUUAGUUGGUUGUUUUAACACUAUCUUUCACCGUGAUUUGUUACCACUUUGUCAUUAUCUUUGAAUGUUGAUUUUUAUUUCUUUAUUAUAUUAUCAAAUAAGUUAGGCAGUAUUUAGAUUUUAUAUUUUUCUUUAUUAUUUUUCUUAUAUUUGAUGUUUUGGUUGUCGAGUUGCCCAAAUAUUUAAUCUCCACUACAUUAGCUAUUACUAGCUUAUCAUAAUUGUUGUUGCUAUUAGAUUUUAUUUAUGUAUUUUCUUUCAAUGCUAUAUUCUCAUAGAUGCUACUUUGAUUUAUUUAUUUAUUUUAAUUCAUUUUUGUUAAGUGGAUGUUACGUGUUAUCUUGAGACGAUGAUGAUGAUGUUAUUGUUGUUAUUAUGAGUAUGGUGUUGAUUUCGGUUGAUCGAUUUCGCAUUAUUUUAUUUUCUUCUUACAAUUAAUUUGAGAAAGUGUUGUGGCCAAUGAGAAAAUCUCUCCGUCGAUUUUGGAGGCCUUUACAUUGUAAAAAGACGGAAAUUUAGUUUAAUUUCAUAUAUUUGUUUGUUCAAAAUGGCCAAUGAGAAAAUCUGUCCGUCGAUUUUGGGGGCCUUUACAUUGUAAAAGACGGAAAUUUAGUUAAUUUCAUAUAUUUUGUUUGUUCAAAAUGGCCAAUGAAAAAAUUUCUCCGUCGGUUUUGGAGACCUCCACAUUUUAGAAGACGGAAAUUUAGUUUAAGUCUAUAAAAGUUUUAUGUUAAAAUUGGCCGAUGAAGAAAUUACCGUCGAUUUCCAAGGCCUUCCAUGUUAAUAAGACGGGUUUUUAUUUUUAAGUUAUUCUUUGAUUCAUUUAUUUUUAUUCAUGUUAAUUUUUUACAAACACAUUUACUAAGUGUCUGUACAGGUACUCGGAUGUGCUUCCCAUUGAAGCUAUUCAAAUAAGGUUCGAAUUAUACCCUUAUUCAUUAUUGUAUAUUAUUGACGAUAGGCAAAUUUAGGCCAAUUCAUAUAUUAUUGUUUUAUCAUAUUACUUGUGUAUAUUGCAUGUUUAUUAUACUUGUACAAUAUUUUAUCCUCCUCCUCAAUUUGAAAAAAAAUGAAUUCAAUCGGGAC
rnacentral:lncRNA from 1 species